CCCUCAUAGGACAGAAAAUUAGGUAGGCGGAGUAGACAGAGGAGAAUGUUGGGAAAAAGAAGCUGAGUGAGUGAGUCGCCAUGAUGCUCCCACUCCAGACAGACGCAGGUUAAGAUCCUCUCUGGAGACACGUCUGCUCCUGGCAGCACCAGCUACUUCAAGAGGAAGAUGGGCAUCGAAGAGGAUCCUUAUGGAGUUGGAUAGUCAUUUGGGCAAGAAACUGCUCUUGCCUGGACUGUUGCAUAAACUGGACACAGAGAACCCUCAGAGAGAGGACUGCUGAACUUGCCUAAAGGUGAGAUGGUCUUUCGGGGUUCCUGAUUCAUGAAAGAGUCUACAAGACAUUCUACAGAACACAGCAGAAAGUGACUGAACUGUCUUUAAAAUUUCCUGCUUCAUGGAAAUGUAUCUGGAUACCAUGGGCCUGUAGGCCGAAGAUGGAUGCCCCAACGGUACAGAGGAACUUUGGGUGACUGUCCAGGCAGCGAGAUGUCUCUGUCAUUUCUAGAGUUUUCUUAUUUCUUGUUUACUUAGAUAAUAUUAUAUCCUUCUGGAGUCUUUGAUGGAGUUGAAGAAUAAAUAGUUAUAGUUUUCCUUAGUUAUGAUAAGAGAUAAAAUAGAUAUAAAUAUUGUAACUGUAAUUCUUACUUGAUAACUGUUUUGUUAUAUGUAAUUUUACUAUGCUAAAGUUAAAGCCUUUCUUUUUUGUUUAAACGGAAAAAGGGGAAAUGAUGUGGGAAUGAUUUCUUACUAAUAAAGAAACUGCCUUGGCCCAUUUUAUUGGAUAGAAAAUUAGGUAGGCGGAGUAUACAGAAGAGAAUUCUGGGAGAAAGAAGGUUAGAGGAAGAGUCGCCAUGAUGCUCCCACUCCAGACAGACGCAGGUUAAGAUCCUCUCUGGACUUUUCAUGACAAGGAGACACGUCUGCUCCUGGCAGCACCAGCUACUUCAAGAGGAAGAUGGGCAUCGAAGAGGAUCCUUAUGGAGUUGGAUAGUCAUUUGGGCAAGAAACUGCUCUUGCCUGGACUGUUGCAUAAACUGGACACAGAACCCGCAGAGAGAGGACUACUGGACUUGCCUAAAGGUGAGAUGGUCUUUCGGGGUUCCUGAUUCAUGAAAGAGUCUGCGAGACAUUCUGCAGGACACAGCAGAAAAUGACUGAACUGUCUUUGAAAUUUCCUGCUUCAUGGAAAUGUCUCUGCAUAACAUGGGCCUGUAGGCCGAAGAUGGAUGCCCCAACGGUACAGAGGAACUUUGGGUGACUGUCCAGGCAGCGAGAUGUCUCUGUCAUUUCUAGAGUUUUCUUAUUUCUUGUUACUUAAGUAUUAUUAUAUCCUUCUGGAGUCUUUGAUGGAGUUGAAGAAUGAAUAGUUAUAGUUUUCCUUAGUUAUGGUGAGAGAUAAAAUAGAUAUAAAUAUUGUAACUGUAAUUCUUACUUGAUAACUGUUUUGUUAUAUGUAAUUUUACUGUUAAAGUUAAAGCCUUUCUUUUUUGUUUAAACAGAAAAAGGGGAAAUGAUGUGGGAAUAGUUUCUUAUUAAUAAAGAAACUGCCUUGGCCCAUUUUAUUGGAUAGAAAAUUAGGUAGGCGGAGUAUACAGAAGAGAAUUCUGGGAGAAAGAAGGUUAGAGGAAGAGUCGCCAUGAUGCUCCCACUCCAGACAGACGCAGGUUAAGAUCCUCUCUGGUAAGCCAGCUCAUGAGCUACACAGAAUAUUAGAAAUGGGUUAGAACAAUAUGUAAGAGCUAGCCAAUAAGAAACUGGACCUAGCCGGGCCAGACAGUGUUUGAAAGAAUACAGUUUCCGUGUAAUUAUUUCGGGCAUAACCUAGCCAUGCGGGCGGCGGGGUGCUGGGGACGCAGCCCC